GACGGAGGAUGCAAGCGUUAUCCGGAAUGAUUGGGCGUAAAGCGUCCGCAGGUGGCAAAUCAAGUCUGCUGUUAAAGCGCAGGGCUUAACUCUGUAAAGGCAGUGGAAACUGAUUAGCUAGAGUGUGGUAGGGGCAGAGGGAAUUCCCAGUGUAGCGGUGAAAUGCGUAGAGAUUGGGAAGAACAUCGGUGGCGAAGGCGCUCUGCUGGGACCAUAACUGACACUCACAGGACGAAAGCUAGGGGGAGCGAAUGGGG
rnacentral:rRNA from 1 species